UACGGAGGGUGCAAGCGUUAUCCGGAUUCACUGGGUUUAAAGGGUGCGUAGGUGGGCUAGUAAGUCCGUGGUGAAAUCUCCAAGCUUAACUUGGAAACUGCCGUGGAUACUAUUAGUCUUGAAUCUCGUGGAGGUAAGCGGAAUAUGUCAUGUAGCGGUGAAAUGCUUAGAUAUGACAUAGGACACCGAUAGCGAAGGCAGCUUGCUACACGAGUAUUGACACUGAGGCACGAAAGCGUGGGGAUCAAACAGG
rnacentral:rRNA from 1 species